rnacentral:rRNA from 1 species
AAUGCAAGGCAGACGGCUCAGUAACACGUAGUCAACCUACCCUAUAGACGGGGAUAACCUCAGGAAACUGAGGAUAAACCCCGAUAGAUCAUUAUGCCUGGAACGGUUUAUGGUCCAAAUGAUUCGUCGCUAUAGGAUGGGACUGCGGCCUAUCAGCUUGUUGGUGAGGUAAUGGCCCACCAAGACUAUUACAGGUACGGGCUCUGAGAGGAGUAGCCCGGAGAUGGGUACUGGGACACGGACCCAGGCCCUAUGGGGCGCAGCAGGCGAGAAAACUUUGCAAUGUGCGAAAGCACGACAAGGUUAAUCCGAGUGAUUCCUGCUAAAGGAAUCUUUUGUUAGUCAUAAUACCACUAACGAAUAAGGGGUGGGCAAGUUCUGGUGUCAGCCGCCGCGGUAAAACCAGCACCUCAAGUGGUCAGGAUGAUUAUUGGGCCUAAAGCAUCCGUAGCCGGCUUUGUUAGUUUUCGGUUAAAUCCAUAUGCUCAACAUAUGGGCUGCCGGGAAUACUGCAAAGCUAGGGAGUGGGAGAGGUAGACGGUACUCCGUAGGAAGGGGUAAAAUCCUUUGAUCUAUGGAUGACCACCUGUGGCGAAGGCGGUCUACCAGAACACGUCCGACGGUGAGGGAUGAAAGCUGGGGGAGCAAACCGGAUUAGAUACCCGGGUAGUCCCAGCUGUAAACUAUGCAAACUCAGUGAUGCAUUGGCUUGUGGCCAGUGCAGUGCCGCAGGGAAGCCGUUAAGUUUGCCGCCUGGGAAGUACGUACGCAAGUAUGAAACUUAAAGGAAUUGGCGGGGGA